CGGGAAAUAGCACAGCUUGGUAGUGCACCUGAUUUGGGAUCAGGGGGUCGCAGGUUCGAAUCCUGUUUUCCCGACCA
rnacentral:tRNA from 1 species